AGCCACCUCCGGGUGGUGGACAGCGGCGGACGGGUGAGUAACGCGUGGGAACAUGCCCUUCGGUACGGAAUAGCCUCGGGAAACUGGGAAUAAUACCGUAUACGCCCUACGGGGGAAAGAUUUAUCGCCGAAGGAUUGGCCCGCGUUAGAUUAGCUAGUUGGUGGGGUAACGGCCCACCAAGGCGACGAUCUAUAGCUGGUUUGAGAGGAUGAUCAGCCACACUGGGACUGAGACACGGCCCAGACUCCUACGGGAGGCAGCAGUGGGGAAUAUUGGACAAUGGGGGAAACCCUGAUCCAGCCAUGCCGCGUGUGUGAAGAAGGCCUUCGGGUUGUAAAGCACUUUCAGUUGUGAGGAAAAGUUAGUAGUUAAUACCUGCUAGCCGUGACGUUAACAACAGAAGAAGCACCGGCUAACUCCGUGCCAGCAGCCGCGGUAAUACGGAGGGUGCGAGCGUUAAUCGGAAUUACUGGGCGUAAAGCGCACGCAGGCGGUUUGUUAAGCUAGAUGUGAAAGCCCCGGGCUCAACCUGGGAUGGUCAUUUAGAACUGGCAGACUAGAGUCUUGGAGAGGGGAGUGGAAUUCCAGGUGUAGCGGUGAAAUGCGUAGAUAUCUGGAGGAACAUCAGUGGCGAAGGCGACUCCCUGGCCAAAGACUGACGCUCAUGUGCGAAAGUGUGGGUAGCGAACAGGAUUAGAUACCCUGGUAGUCCACGCUGUAAACGAUGCAUACUAGGUGUUGG
rnacentral:rRNA from 1 species